GAUGAACGCUGGCGGCGUGCCUAAUACAUGCAAGUCGAGCGAACAGACGAGGAGCUUGCUCCUCUGACGUUAGCGGCGGACGGGUGAGUAACACGUGGAUAACCUACCUAUAAGACUGGGAUAACUUCGGGAAACCGGAGCUAAUACCGGAUAAUAUAUUGAACCGCAUGGUUCAAUAGUGAAAGACGGUUUUGCUGUCACUUAUAGAUGGAUCCGCGCCGCAUUAGCUAGUUGGUAAGGUAACGGCUUACCAAGGCAACGAUGCGUAGCCGACCUGAGAGGGUGAUCGGCCACACUGGAAGUGAGACACGGUCCAGAGUCCUACGGGAGGCCGCAGUAGGGAAUCGUCCGCAAUGGGCGAAAGCCUGACGGAGCAACGCCGCGUGAGUGAUGAAGGUCUUCGGAUCGUAAAACUCUGUUAUGAGGGAAGAACAAAUGUGUAAGUAACUAUGCACGUCUUGACGGUACCUAAUCAGAAAGCCACGGCUAACUACGUG
rnacentral:rRNA from 1 species